rnacentral:rRNA from 1 species
CCUACGGGAGGCAGCAGUGGGGAAUAUUGGACAAUGGGCGAAAGCCUGAUCCAGCAAUGCCGCGUGAGUGAUGAAGGCCUUAGGGUUGUAAAGCUCUUUUACCCGGGAUGAUAAUGACAGUACCCGCAGAAGAAGCCCCGGCUAACUCCGUGCCAGCAGCCGCGGUAAU